rnacentral:rRNA from 1 species
CGUAGGGUGCAAGCGUUGCCCGGAUUUAUUGGGCGUAAAGGGCGCGCAGGCGGCCCGGCGCGUCCGCGGUGAAAGCUCCCGGCUCAACUGGGAGAGGUCCGCGGAAACGGUCGGGCUCGAGCAAGGUAGGGGGUCGUGGAAUUCCCGGUGUAGUGGUGGAAUGCGUAGAGAUCGGGAGGAACACCAGUGGCGAAGGCGGCGACCUGGACCUGUGCUGACGCUGAGGCGCGAAAGCGUGGGGAGCGAUCCGGAUUAGAUACCCGGGUAGUCCACGCCGUAAACGAUGCACACUAGGUGUCGGGGGUAUCGACCCCCUCGGCGCCGCAGCUAACGCAUUAAGUGUGCCGCCUGGGGACUACGGCCGCAAGGCUA